rnacentral:rRNA from 1 species
CCUACGGGGGGCUGCAGUGGGGAAUAUUGCACAAUGGGGGAAACCCUGAUGCAGCGACGCCGCGUGAGUGAAGAAGUAUUUCGGUAUGUAAAGCUCUAUCAGCAGGGAAGAUAAUGACGGUACCUGACUAAGAAGCCCCGGCUAACUACGUGCCAGCAGCCGCGGUAAUACGUAGGGGGCAAGCGUUAUCCGGAUUUACUGGGUGUAAAGGGAGCGUAGACGGCAGCACAAGUCUGGAGUGAAAUGCCGGGGCUUAACCCCGGAACUGCUUUGGAAACUGUGCAGCUAGAGUGCAGGAGAGGUAAGUGGAAUUCCUAGUGUAGCGGUGAAAUGCGUAGAUAUUAGGAGGAACACCAGUGGCGAAGGCGGCUUACUGGACUGUAACUGACGUUGAGGCUCGAAAGCAUGGGGAGCAAACAGGAUUAGAUACCCUAGUAGUC